UGCAAGCUAGCAAUUUUCUCUUUGAGAUAUGCACAUUAGCAACUCUUUCUCCCCCUAUGUCAUUGGCAAAAAGAAGGGAAGACCCUUUACAUUAAUUUCUAAAUCAUGACAAAGGUAGGUUUCAAUCUUAUUUGUUCAUCAUUAUAUUUUCAAAUUCGAACAUGCACAAUUUCAAAAACCUUAUAUUUCAUUCAUGCAUGAUACUGAAUAAAUCAAUCAAUA
rnacentral:lncRNA from 1 species